rnacentral:rRNA from 1 species
GACGAACGCUGGCGGCGUGCCUAAUACAUGCGAGUUGAGCGCUGAAGGUUGGUACUUGUACCAACUGGAUGAGCAGCGAACGGGUGAGUAACGCGUGGGGAAUCUGCCUUUGAGCGGGGGACAACAUUUGGAAACGAAUGCUAAUACCGCAUAAAAACUUUAAACACAAGUUUUAAGUUUGAAAGAUGCAAUUGCAUCACUCAAAGAUGAUCCCGCGUUGUAUUAGCUAGUUGGUGAGGUAAAGGCUCACCAAGGCGAUGAUACAUAGCCGACCUGAGAGGGUGAUCGGCCACAUUGGGACUGAGACACGGCCCAAACUCCUACGGGAGGCAGCAGUAGGGAAUCUUCGGCAAUGGACGACAGUCUGACCGAGCAACGCCGCGUGAGUGAAGAAGGUUUUCGGAUCGUAAAACUCUGUUGGUAGAGAAGAACGUUGGUGAGAGUGGAAAGCUCAUCAAGUGACGGUAACUACCCAGAAAGGGACGGCUAACUACGUG